UGCCUGCCUGUUGCUGACGUCAGUCGCUGCUGCCUAUUUACCGUAGCUCAAGGACUGGGUUUCCCCUCUUUGCAAAACCACUUGCUGCUCUCUAGAACCCAUUCCCACCCUAGCAAUGGGCUCCCAUCCAGACCUGUCUAGAUAUGUCCCUGAGUGAGGAAGUAAAUGUCUCCAGAAAUGGCAGCAGCCCACAGAAAAGGGGAAGAGGCAGGGUCUGAAAGCAUCCACUUAUCCUACAGAGGAAGUUGGGAUAAGCCUGAGUGCCACAUGGAAAUGAAUGCCAUUUGCCAAGCUAGUCAACUGCACGCACCGUGGAGAAGUUUUCCUUUUGCCAGCCAGAAUGUUAUAUUUCACCAGCACCAACUGCCUUUUCUUUAAAGCAAAGCUGGUGGAUCACCCAUAAAAACCCAGAAACACAGCUCUAUCAGCAAGCUCUUUAUUUGGAGAUUGGCUCUCCCACAAUGGUAUGUUCUAACUGACAAGGACAUCAACCCUCCAUGCACAAGGCAGGACUCCUUUCUUCCAGUCCAGUUUCUUCUUCCAGCAUGUCUGACGCUCUUACGCAGCCUUGUAGGAGGUAAAUGGGAAGGUGGGCUGGUCUCCACACUUGCUUUCUUAAUUCUUGAUCAUCUUCUCUGUUUUUUCUUGUGUUUGUAUGAAAGACUUAUAAAUCAGGGGACCUAUAAAACUGGUGGUCACUGCCCUGUU